rnacentral:lncRNA from 1 species
GGGGCCACGCCCUCUGCAGCUGGAGGUUUCCCACCCGCGUUUCUGUUUUCGCAGCCUUGGAGCCCACCUCUUGUAACUCAGUUUCCUGGGUCGCCUUGUCUCUUGCGGUUGUUGGUGAGGUAGCGAUUGCCUUCUCCUCCUGGCAGCGGCAGGCUGGUGGACUUGGCGGAUGGCCUGUUUAAUGCAUGCUGGUGACGAGAAGGCCACGCUCACAGGACCCACUGGGGCUUGAUGCAGUGGCAGGAAACACAGGUGAGCAAACUAGGGCAUCAUCUACUCUCUCCCCACCAGUGAUCUGAAACUUUCCAGAGGACCGCAAAGACCAAGCAAAUAAAGGAUUGCGCCCACGCGGACGCCAAGGAGGAGUGGGGAGAGCCACUGUCAAACACGAGACAGCUAGCCCAGACACGCCGCAGGAACGCCGGCCGGGCAGGAGCCCCUUUUGCCUGGCGACCUUCACCCCACCUGGGAGCGGCUGGGCAAACGGACCUUCUGAGCUUGGCGUGGCUUCCAGCUCUGUCAGUGUCACAGCCCUCCGACUAAUUCCAACAUCCCGGUGGCUGUCUUCCCUGGAGAAGGCCCGCCGCGGGUGCGCGCGCCUUGGGGGCCGCCUGUUGGCGCUCCUGGGAGAGCCCGCGGGCCGCCGUCCCCCCGCUGCGCCCCACUGGGCAUGACCGGGGGUCUGGACGGCCCUCGCCGUGACCUUGACUUUAAGCCCUUC